rnacentral:rRNA from 1 species
GACGAACGCUGGCGGCGUGCUUAACACAUGCAAGUCGAACGGAAAGGCCCUGCUUUUGUGGGGUGCUCGAGUGGCGAACGGGUGAGUAACACGUGAGUAACCUGCCCUUGACUUUGGGAUAACUUCAGGAAACUGGGGCUAAUACCGGAUAGGAGCUCCUGCUGCAUGGUGGGGGUUGGAAAGUUUCGGCGGUUGGGGAUGGACUCGCGGCUUAUCAGCUGGUUGGUGGGGUAGUGGCUUACCAAGGCAUUGACGGGUAGCCGGCCUGAGAGGGGGACCGGCCACCUUGGGACUGAGGUACGGCGCAGACGCCUACGGGAGACAGCAGUGGGAAGUAUUACACAAUGAGCGCGAGCCUGAUACAGCAGCGCCGCGUGCGGGAAGACGGCCUUCGGGUUAUGAACCGCUUUCGCCUGUGACGAAGCGUGAGUGACGGUAAUGGAUGAAGAAGCACCGGCUAACUACGUG